UGGAAUGUACAAGUAAGGGAAGUAGUACCCGUAUCUGCUGUGGAGGGACGACCCCAGCCCGGCGCCCUGGAGGCAAGCAAGCAAACCGUUGUAAAGCCAAAAGAAAUAAAACAAUAUUCUUCGCCCAGCUCACCCGACCCGUCGCCCGAACAGCUACCGGAACCUACACCCGGCCCCUCCACGAAAUAUGGAAACUACAAAUAAGCAUUGAACUCUCCAGCAAUCAGAGUUUUCUCAAAAAAAAUUCUGCAAAAUCGUUUAUGGAUUUGAAGUGUCGGUGGA